UGUUUGAGGCUCAUUUUGGUAAAGCAUUGGACUUGCAUUGCAAGGGUUGUGGGUUCGAAUCCCACGGUAGGCCAG